rnacentral:rRNA from 1 species
CAGCGCCACGAGUGGGAACCACGAUUAUUGGGCCUAAAGCGUCCGUAGCUGGUUUGAUAAGUCUUUUGUGAAAUCGUUGCGCUUAACGUAACGACGUGCAAAAGAGACUGUCAGACUUGGAACCGGGAGGAGUCAGAGGUAUUCCGUGGGGAGCGGUAAAAUGCUAUAAUCCACGGAGGACCACCUGUGGCGAAGGCGUCUGACCAGAACGGAUUCGACAGUGAGGGACGAAAGCUGAGGGAGCAAACCGGAUUAGAUACCCGAGUAGUCC